rnacentral:piRNA from 1 species
UACUUAUUGGUGAACUCAUGAUCUGCUUGGU